rnacentral:rRNA from 1 species
CGCGUAGGCGGUCUGUCCAGUUAGGCGUGAAAGGCCUGGGCUUAACCCAGGAAUGGCGCUUAAUACUGACGGGCUUGAGAUUGGAAGAGGAGAAUGGAAUUCCCAGUGUAGAGGUGAAAUUCGUAGAUAUUGGGAAGAACACCGGUGGCGAAGGCGGCUCUCUGGUCCACAUCUGACGCUGAGGCGCGAAAGCGUGGGGAGCAAACAGGAUUAGAUACCCUGGUAGUCCACGCCGUAAACGAUGAGUGCUAGACGUUGGGGGGCUUGGCUCCUCGGUGUCGCAGCUAACGCGUUAAGCACUCCGCCUGGGGAGUACGGUCGCAAGAUUAAA